rnacentral:rRNA from 1 species
UACGGAGGGUGCAAGCGUUGUUCGGAAUUAUUGGGCGUAAAGGGCGUGUAGGCGGUUCGUUAAGUCUGCUGUGAAAGCCCCGGGCUCAACCCGGGAAGUGCAUUGGAAACUGGCGAACUUGAGUACGGGAGAGGGCAGUGGAAUUCCUAGUGUAGGAGUGAAAUCCGUAGAUAUUAGGAGGAACACCGGUGGCGAAGGCGGCUGCCUGGACCGAUACUGACGCUGAGACGCGAAAGCGUGGGGAGCAAACAGG